AAUGAACGUUGGCGGCAUGGAUUAGGCAUGCAAGUCGAGCGAGAAGGGUUUUGAAGCUUGCUUUAGAACCUGGAAAGCGGCGGAAGGGAGAGUAACGAGUAGUUAUCUACCCCAAGGCCCGGAAUAGCUGCGGGAAACUGCAGGUAAUGCCGGAUAAUAUCCCCGGAUCAAAGGUGUGAUUCCGCCUUGGGAGGAGACUGCUUUGUACUAGCUUGUUGGUGGGGUAAUGGCCUACCAAGGCUACGAUGCAUAGCGGGCGUGAGAGCGUGGCCCGUCUCACUGGGACUGAAACACUGCCCAGACACCUACGGGUGGCUGCAGUCGAGAAUCUUCGGCAAUGGGCGAAAGCCUGACCGAGCGAUGCCGCGUGCGGGAUGAAGGCCCUCGGGUUGUAAACCGCUGUCGUAGAGGAGAAAGGUCUCGUGAAGAGCGAGAUUUGAUCUAUUCUAGGAGGAAGUCGGGGCUAAGUUCGUGCCAGCAGCCGCGGUAACACGAACCCGACGAACGUUAUUCGGAAUUAUUGGGCUUAAAGGGUGCGUAGGCGGUGCGGUAAGUGCGGUGUGAAAGCCCUCGGCUCAACCGAGGAAUUGCGCUGCAUACUGCCGUGCUGGAGGGAGACAGGGGUAAGCGGAACUGAUGGUGGAGCGGUGAAAUGCGUUGAUAUCAUCAGGAACACCGGGUGGCGAAAGCGGCUUACUGGGUCUUCUCUGACGCUGAGGCACGAAAGCUAGGGUAGCGAACGGGAUUAGAUACCCCGGUAGUCCUAGCCGUAAACGAUGAGCACUUGAUUGAGGGCCCCCCCAUAGGCUCUCGAUCGCAGCGAAAGUGUUAAGUGCUCCGCCUGGGGAGUAUGGUCGCAAGGCUGAAACUCAAAGGAAUUGACGGGGGCUCACACAAGCGGUGGAGGAUGUGGCUUAAUUCGAGGCUACGCGAAGAACCUUAUCCAGGCCUUGACAUGUACGGAUGCUGCCCGUGAAAGCGGGUUAGUUGCCUUCGGGUGAAACGUGCACAGGUGCUGCAUGGCUGUCGUCAGCUCGUGUCGUGAGAUGUCGGGUUAAGUCCCUUAACGAGCGAAACCCUUGUCCUUAGUUGCCAGCGAGUCAUGUCGGGGACUCUAAGGAGACUGCCGGCGUUAAGCCGGAGGAAGGUGGGGAUGACGUCAAGUCCUCAUGGCCUUUAUGGUCUGGGCUGCACACGUCCUACAAUGGCAUAUACAAAGGGAUGCUACCUCGCGAGAGCAAGCAAAUCCCAAAAAGUAUGCCCCAGUUCGGAUUGCAGGCUGCAACUCGCCUGCAUGAAGCCGGAAUCGCUAGUAAUCGUGGGUCAGCAUACCACGGUGAAUAUGUUCCUGAGCCUUGUACACACCGCCCGU
rnacentral:rRNA from 1 species